rnacentral:rRNA from 1 species
UACGGGGGGGGCAAGCGUUGUUCGGAAUUACUGGGCGUAAAGGGCCAGUAGGCGGCCAACUAAGUCAGACGUGAAAUCCCUCGGCUUAACCGGGGAACUGCGUCUGAUACUGGAUGGCUUGAGUUUGGGAGAGGGAUGCGGAAUUCCAGGUGUAGCGGUGAAAUGCGUAGAUAUCUGGAGGAACACCGGUGGCGAAGGCGGCAUCCUGGACCAACACUGACGCUGAGGAGCGAAAGCCAGGGGAGCAAACGGG